rnacentral:lncRNA from 1 species
CAGAACACAUUAGCCACUACAAAUUUGAAUAUAAAAAAAUAAAUCCAACAGAAUUUGGUAUAAACAUCAAUAAAGGCUAUAUAUUAUCUACUAUCUUUUACUGAAGCAUCCUUGCCUUCUUUACAAUGAUUAGCAACUUGUAAUCUUUGAUGCUUUCUAUCUUCUUCAUUCUUUGUAUUUCGAAUUCUUUGAUCAAGUUAAGCACUUGCAUGCUUUUGGUUCCUUGGAUUGUGCAGGUAUUCUAAUUUGAUAUAAUCCCAAACGUCCUUUGUGGAUUCCAACUUUAUGAUCCUUGUGAUUAUUGAGCUUGACACAGAAGAGAACUGGCAGGCUUUAGCUUUGGACUUCCUUGUCUUCUUUUCUUUGCGAAUCUUUAUUUGAGUCAUCGUAAGAUUUUAAGGUAGUAGAGAAAUGUCAUAAUCUUCCUCUAAGGCCUUCCAGAGAGAUCUAAUGCUUCAAGAUGGACUGUCAUUCUUUUAGUCCAAGCUUGGUAAUUAUCGCCGUAAAAAACUGGUGGCGUAAUAUGUGAGAUGGAUGUCUCAAAUUCCAUGCUUGGCAAGUGUUUAAGUUUCAGGUUUUGUGUUUGAGAUUUGGUUUGUGUUCGUGUGCUCACUCAUCUGACAAAUCCCUCAAAGAAUUUUUUUUAAUACCAAUUUGUUGUCAUUUGAAC